GAUGAACGCUGGCGGCGUGCUUAACACAUGCAAGUCGAACGGAGAAAGGGUAGCUUGCUAUCUUUUCUUAGUGGCGGACGGGUGAGUAACGCGUGGGUAACCUGCCCUUUGCAGGGGGAUAACAGUGAGAAAUCACUGCUAAUACCGCAUACCAACUUCUUUCGCAUGAAGGAAGUUUGAAAGAUUUAUCGGCAAAGGAUGGACCCGCGUUGGAUUAGCUAGUUGGUGAGAUAACAGCCCACCAAGGCAACGAUCCAUAGCCGGCCUGAGAGGGUGAACGGCCACACUGGGACUGAGACACGGCCCAGACUCCUACGGGAGGCAGCAGUGGGGAAUAUUGCACAAUGGGCGAAAGCCUGAUGCAGCGACGCCGCGUGAAGGAUGAAGGUCUUCGGAUUGUAAACUUCUAUCAGCAGGGAAGAAGGGCUUAUAGCCUAUGACGGUACCUGACUAAGAACGCCCCGGCUAACUACGUGCCAGCAGCCGACGGUAAAAGUCUAC
rnacentral:rRNA from 1 species